GAUGGAAGGCUCAUCGAAAUUGCUGUACAGGCAGAGGUUUCAAACCACCUUAAGCUGCUUCAGUAAAAAGUUAAGGUAGUGAGCGUUAAGGAAAAGGCAAAACAAGAUUUUGUCAGGU
rfam:Clostridium sp. DL-VIII chromosome, whole genome shotgun sequence.